ensembl:lncRNA
AUUCAGAACACCAGCUUCACUUUCAUUUAGGUUGUUCGACAAGACUUCCUUAGUUAGGAUCUACAGCACUAUGAUGCUUCCUAAUUAAAGGCAAUCUGAUGGUGCCUCAAGCUGUCAUCUCCCUUGCAUUGCUACCUGCUACCUGAGUGACAGUACCUGAACAGAGGGAACCAUAUACGCCUCUGCUCCCUCUGAACUGCAACUUAGCUGCGCAAAGCAAACCAGCUCCAUCAGGAGACAGUGAUGGUGAUGUGCCACUGGACAGCCAGCAGCCAGGGUGCCCCACGUGGAGAUGAGCAGCUGGGGCAGUCUGGCAGUGCUUACAUUCUCUGUUCUGUGGAAAUUACCUGCUCACCUCACUUUAAGUCUUUUAGGGACAGAUGUUUCUCUCCAAGUCUCUUGUCACAAAGUACGCGAGAAGAUCUGAAUUUAUGCAAAAGGAGAAGUGAACACUGAGUCCAAAGGAAGAGAGAAAGUUGCUUAACAUCUCAAAGAGGACAAUGGCCUGAGAAAAGGUAUCCCAAAUCUGCUGCAUGGAAUCAUAGAGUCAUAGAAUGGCCUGGGUUGAAAAUGGGCCUCAAAGAUCAUCUAGUUUCAACCCCCUUGCCAUGGGCAGGAUCACCGACCACUAGACCAGGCUGCCCAGAGCAUCUCAAGGUGCAGUGCCAAAUUCAGUCAAUUACUGCUUUGUCAAGCAAUACAGGCUUAUGUUGCCUUCCUUGCAAGUUAGUCCCUCAGAUUCCUCAAAGCGCCUGCUGCUACAAUUGGCCAAUGCCUUCCCAGUUGUAGAAUCUCAGAGCAGAGCCAUCCCAUGACCCUGCACUGCUCUCUGCCUCAUGUAUUUGCUAAGCCUGCAUUUUGCCCCUUAGUGCUUCAGUUCCAAACACUCCGUGUACACUGAAUUGUAUUUCUCCAAGCAGCACUGUGCUGACCUCAUGGAGCUGCUGGCAUGUGGAGAUGGUGGUGCCUACUCUGCUGGAGCUGUAAGAGCACUGCUCUGAAGCCCUAACAGCAAAACUUGGGUUCUGUGUGAUUUCCUUCUCUCCAGGGGCUCCUUACUGUGAACUGCUGAAUGUGGCUUUACUGACAGCGUGUCUGAAGGGAAAUGUUUUCA